AUGAACGCUGGCGGCGUGGAUAAGGCAUGCAAGUCGAACGGUCCCGCCAUCCAUAUAGCAAUAUAAGGAAGGCAGGAUAGUGGCAAACGGGUUAGUAACACGUAGGUAACUUUCCUCGGAGUCUUGAAUAAUUCCGCGAAAGCGGGACUAAUACAAGAUGGCAAUGAGGGGGCAUAAGCCAUUCUCAUUUAAAGAUUUAUCGCUCCAAGAAAGGCCUGCGUCCUAUCAGUUAGUUGGUGAGGUAAUGGCUCACCAAGGCAAUGACGGGUAGCGGUUCUGAGAGGAUGAUCCGCCACACUGGUACUGAGACACGGACCAGACUCCUACGGGAGGCAGCAGUGAGGAAUAUUGCACAAUGGGGGGAACCCUGAUGCAGCAACGCCGCGUGGAGGAUGACGCAUUUCGGUGUGUAAACUCCUUUUAUAUGUCAAGAAAAUGACGGUAGCAUAUGAAUAAGCACCGGCUAACUCCGU
rnacentral:rRNA from 1 species